rnacentral:rRNA from 1 species
UACGGAGGAUGCAAGCGUUAUCCGGAAUGAUUGGGCGUAAAGGGUCCGCAGGUGGCCGUGUAAGUCUGCUGUCAAAGAAUGAGGCUUAACCUCAUCAAGGCAGUGGAAACUACACAGCUAGAGUACGGUCGGGGUAGAAGGAAUUCCUGGUGUAGCGGUGAAAUGCGCAGAUAUCAGGGAGAACACCCGUGGCGAAGGCGGCUCUCUGGGACGGUACUGACGCUGAGACGCGAAAGCGUGGGGAGCGAACAGG